CCUACGGGAGGCUGCAGUCGGGAAUAUUUGGCAAUUUAUUAAACUCUUACCCAUCAAUCCCUCUUUCCCGAUGAAGGUUUUCUUAUUUUAAACUUCUGUUAUAAAGGAAGAAAAAAAUGACGGUACUUUAUAAGUAAGUCCCGGCAAACUAUGUGCCAGCAGCCGCGGUGAUACAUAGGGGGCAAGCGUUGUCCGGAAUGACUGGGUGUAAAGGGUGUGUAGGUGGCUUAUUAAGUUAGAGGUGAAAGCCCGAAGCUCAACUUCGGAACUGCCUUUAAAACUGGUUGGCUUGAGUGUGGGAGAGGUUAGUGGAACUCCUAGUGUAGCGGUGGAAUGCGUAGAUAUUAGGAAGAACAUCAGAGGCGAAGGCGACUAACUGGAACAUUACUGACACUGAAACACGAAAGCGUGGGGAGCAAACAGGAUUAGAUACCCCAGUAGUC
rnacentral:rRNA from 1 species